rnacentral:rRNA from 1 species
UUGAAGCUUCGGCAGAUUUAGCUGGUUUCUAGUGGCGGACGGGUGAGUAACGCGUGGGUAACCUGCCUUAUACAGGGGGAUAACAGUCAGAAAUGGCUGCUAAUACCGCAUAAGCGCACAGGGCCGCAUGGCCUGGUGUGAAAAACUGAGGUGGUAUAAGAUGGACCCGCGUUGGAUUAGCCAGUUGGCAGGGUAACGGCCUACCAAAGCGACGAUCCAUAGCCGGCCUGAGAGGGUGAACGGCCACAUUGGGACUGAGACACGGCCCAGACUCC